rnacentral:misc_RNA from 1 species
AACCAUAGAAACCUGCGGAGUACCUGCGGAGGGAUCAUUACCGAGUUUACAACUCCCAAACCCCUGUGAACAUACCACUUGUUGCCUCGGCGGAUCAGCCCGCUCCCGGUAAAACGGGACGGCCCGCCAGAGGACCCCUAAACUCUGUUUCUAUAUGUAACUUCUGAGUAAAACCAUAAAUAAAUCAAAACUUUUAGCAAUGGAUCU